rnacentral:lncRNA from 1 species
UCUUUUUUUUUUUUAAGCUUCAUCAUAUAUAAAUGAAGAGUCUGAUGCUAUUGCCUAGACAAUAUUAAUGCUGUCAAGUUUCUAUUAUACUUGGUUAGAAAGUCUCCGAACUAAUACAGAACUCUGGGUCACUCAAUGGAGUGGCUGAUUGCAGCUUUCAUAUCUAGACCUGUAGACUAUAGGGUUUGUCUUUUUGCCUUAACUAAAUAACAAUCACAAAAUAAUUCAGAUUUCCAAAUAUACUAAAAUAUUGGUACUAUAUAAUUACUGAUAUUUUCAGUACUUAAAAGUAGCUUUGUAUACCAAAACACCAGUCUACCAAAAACAAGUACUGGCAUGAGUAAUCCCAGAGUUGAGACCUUCUGGGUCAACCUGAAAAACAAAACUUCAACUUCCACCUAUGUUACUGGGUGCUCAGAAUAAAGGUUUCCGGAUAGGAGAGGGCCAGGGAUGGUGUAGAUGGCCACCAUCUAGUGGACAAACCACUCUGAUAGGGUAGCAAAUGGUUCCAGAGUUUUCUCAGCCCAGAAAAAAACUGUCAAUAUCCACAGUUUGCAUCAGAUUUCCUUCUUAAAUAGUAAAUACACAUUACACUUUGAGAAAUGGAUUCAGCUGUGUUUUUUUUCUUUUCUUUUUAGAGACAGGAUCUUGCUCUGUUGCCCAGGCUGGAGUGCAGUGGCACGAUCAUAGCUCACCACAGCCUUGAAGCCCUGGGCCUGAGCAGUCCUUCCACCUCAGCCUCUGAAUAGCUGGGACUACAGGUGCAAGCUACUGACUUGGCUAGAAUUUGGCUGUUUUCACUCACAAACAUACGUACAUACCGUUUUUAACUUUAAUAAAAGGUUACUUUAUUUAUUUAUUUAUUUAUUUAUUUAUUUAUUUUUGAGACAGGGUCUGGCUCUUUUGCCCAGGCUGGAGUGCAGUGGCAUGAUCACAGCUCACUGGAGCAUUGACCUCUCAGGCCCAAGUGAUCCUUCCACCUAAGACUACUGAGUAGCUGAGACUACAGGUGCAAGUCACCACGCCCAGCUAAUUUUUUAUUUUUUGUAGAGAUGGGAUCUCAUGAUGAUGCCCAGGCUGGUCUCAAACUCUUUGGGCAAGCAAUCCUCCUGCCUCAGCCUCUCAAAGCCCUGUGAUUACAGGCGUGAGCCACUGCACCUGGCCAAGAUUACUUCCUUUAUUGGGUAGUUACCUAAAUAAUAACACAUAUGGCAAGCAAAUCUAAAAGAACAGAGGAGUAAGAAGGGCAUAAGGUAAAAAUCAAAGGCAAGAUGACCAGCUAGUCCUGGUUUACCUGUGACUACCCCAGUUUUAAAAGUGGAAGUCCCAUAUCCCAGUAACCCUUCAGUCACAAGCAAACCCAAACAGCCCUUCAUUUCCCAAUCCCUCUCUCUCCCCAGAUCAUCACUAUUGUUUCCAUACUCUUCCAGAAAUUUCCAUUGCAUAUGGAAGGACGUGUAUUAUGCACAUAUGCUUACAUAUUUAAAUAAAUUCCUUUUAAUGGCUUAGAGGACAAGAAAUAUCUUUCGAGGCUAAUCUGUUUCUAACAAAUUUUAAAAACAAAAUUUAAAUAUGCAUAGUAAGGAAUUCAAACAUGGAAGAAUAUAAAACAAAACCUUCAUUUUAUAUAACAAAACAUUUAUAAACCUUCGUUUAUAAAACAAAACAAAGGUUUGGUUUUGUUUUAUAAAGGCACACCAGCAUUUUGCCAGUUUUUGCCAAAUUGCUCUCCUGUGGCAUACUCUUUUACUUUUCUAUCAAUAAUGUAUGUAAAUACUGGUUUCCCCAGUCUCGGCAGUAGUAGGCAUAUUGAUAUUUUAGUAUUUGCUGGUCUGAGGUGAAAGGGCACAGUACCUCACUGUUUUGAUUUGCCUUUCAAGCGUGUAGCAGCUGCUGGACAUCCUUCACGUUCGUACUUCUUUUCCGGUGGACCUUUUACAUACUCUUUUGUAAAUGGUUUAAAAGUUACUUUAUACUAACUUUUUUGUAAAUCAAGGAAAUUCAUCUGUCAUAAGCAUUGCAAUUCUUUUUCCCAGUUUUUUUUUUUUUUGAGACUUUUCCUGAGAAAGUUUUAUAAACACUUCAAAUAAUAUGAUAUAGGAAGUAAUUCCUCCUUGCCUGGAAGUGGGGCUGAGACUGGAGUGCUAGGGCUGGUGUGGAACCAAGGCCAGUGACAAAGCAGACACUGUUGCUUCUAUGUGGCUGUAUUAAAAUGCACCCGCCCCUCUGCACUGCCCCACAGACCAGGAUUUCAACACAGCCCUGUCGACUUGAAAGCCCAAGUUCCUAACCCUGACUUUGUUUCACUCUGCUGGGGUAAAACCUUACCGCAGAGGCUGGCAUUUGCUGAAAUGAGGUCGAGGAAGUGGGAAAGGUGGUUGGGAGUCCAAUCCAAGUCUCACCAAUGAUUGGAUAAACACAGCCAAGUGCUUCACCUCCCUGCACUGCAAUCUCACAGCUGUAAAAUCACAGCUGGGUCAUCAGUGAUGACACCAGCCUAGAAGUGUGGGUAGCACCAUUAGAUGAGUCUGUGGGGGAGGAAAGCACUUUGUAAACUAGUUAUGUUGUGCAUGUUGGAAGGAUGGGCUGAAUAACAAGAAACCCAGGUGUUCAGGGAUCAGAGUCUGGCUUCUUUCAUGAUAGAAAAAGAACCUCAGCUAACAGGUUAUAGGACUAACGCUAAAGAAACUGUCAGCAGAAUGGCUGGAACCAGACCCAGACAUCUGCCUCCCUCCUUUAAAACAAAGCUGUGCACCUCAGACCUGCAACUAUCAGCCUUGAUGCCCUCCUCAACCAAGACUUUUUGCUUUUCCCUAGGCCCCCAUUGCCGUGCGGCUGGGCAAAGUAGCCAUUGACCGAGGAACGGAGGUGAGAGGGUUUUGGGUUGGGACUUGGGUCCACUAAAGUUGGUCGCGGCUGGGACACAGUGCUUUCAGAGCUCAGACAGCACAGCUGGGAAAAACUCAGGAAGUGGACUCUUCUAACAGACUUGAACUCUGACCUCGUGCUCUACGUCAGUUUACACAUCUGCAAAUUGGCCAGACAGUAUUAUUGUUUACAUUCUAUCCUCAUCUUUCUCCCUUGGAGAGAGGAUGAGAUUGAGGUUAAGAAAGGGUAAAUGAUUUGCCCAAGGUCUCAGAGGAAGUGAGUAGAAAGAACCCGGGUCUGUGUGGCUGCCAGUCCAUGCUGCAAGAUUUGUGCUGGCAGUAAUGUGGCCUCAGGGCAGGGCUUGGGGUGAUGCCUUGGGUGUGGCUAAUCCAUCUGUCCACCUCAACUCUCCCAUCUAGUUAAUCCAUCUGUCCACCUCAACUCUCCCAUCUAGUCACUCAUCACACACUGAAUCCAGAACAAAGCUGGGAACUGGGAUACAGAUGGAUGAGUUAAACAUGGUCACUGCCCCCGGGAGGGGGCAGAUACAGACACAAAUCAAGGAUAAUGGUACCACGCUGACACCCCAGAAAGGUUAGAGCUUUGCGGUCCAUUAUGAUAUCCAUGUGUGGCUUUUAAAUUAAAAGUAAAAUGUGGUCAGGCGCGGUGGCUCAUGCCUGUAGUCCCAGCACUUUGGGAGGCUGAGGCGGGCGAUCACGAGGUCAGGAGAUCGAGACCAUCCUGGCUAACACAGUGAAACCCCGUCUCUACUAAAAAUACAAAAAAUUAGCCAGGCGUGGUGGCAGGCACCUGUAGUCCCAGCUACUCAGGAGGCUGAGGCAGGCGAAUCGCUUGAACCCAGGAGGCGGAGUUUGCAGUGAGCCGAGAUCGCACCACUGCACUCCAGCCUGGGCGACAGAGCGAGACUCCGUCUCAAAAUAAAUAAAUAAAUAAAUAAAAUAAAAUGUUCAGUUUCUCCUUCACGCUAAUCACAGUUCACGUGCUUGACAUUCACAUGCGGCUAGUGGCUACCAUACUGGGCAGUGCUCGGUUAAAGACUGUUUUCUACAGUUGGACUGUGGGAAGGAUAAAAAUUCCAGAGGAAAAGUAUGGGCAAAGGCACAGAGGAGGAUAAGCAAGCAGCUCGUCCAGAUGAGAGUGAGGGAAGAAGAGAGAGUGCAAGUUCGAGGCACUAGGCUGUCUGGGUUCAAAGACCUGCUCUUCCACAUACUGUUGUGAACUUUGACAAAUUAUUUCACCUUUCUAUGCCUCAGGUUUCUCAGCUGUAGAAUAGGGAUACUAACCCUUGCUGUGAAAAUUAAGUUCACACACACAUGGUACUUCUCUUAGAAUGAGGCUUUCAAGUGCCAGUCAGUGGGCCCUAGAGGCUGGAGCAAUUGCCAGGGCCCAGGUCAUAAAGGUUCAGAAAUUAACGGGUGACAGGAAGCGUGGUGAGGCAGCCGGAUGGGAAGGAGAACUCCUCUUCUCUGGCAAAAUGUCUCAGUCUGUCUCGUUUCUCCCAGCAGUUUUGUCAUAGUUACGAAUGGUGUUUCUUCUCUAGGAGGGAAAUUCCUUCUCAUAGCUAUCUCUGCUCAUAUAGAUGUCUGUAGGCAAUAGGGUGGGCUGGCUUCCAGUGUGGGUGAAGAUGGACAAGGUCAGACCAAUCCAGGGAGCACGUCUUUCUUGCAGGUGGACAUUGCAUCUGGGAUGGCCAUUGAAGGGAUGUGCUAUGCCCAGGUAUGUAGCAACCAGCCCAUGCCUGCUUGUUAACAUAGGCUGGGCCAGGCUAGAGGGACUUUGUAUGGUACAUGACCAAUUUUAGAAGGUUCUUCUCAACACAAACAGUCUGACCGCAUCCAUCGUCCCUCAUAAGUCACCUGGAGUGGCUUGAGGAGAGCCAUAGUGCUUCUCUCUGGGACUUUUCCCUCAACCAUCUAAUGUACUGGGGUUCAUCCUGCCCACUUAAUGCCGAGAAUCACAGAACACAGGUCCUUAAGAGGAAGAACCACAUCUUUUGCCUCUGUAUCAGAUGCCACUGUAAAGUUCAGGAUGGAGUUGGGAGGUCAAGGGCUUGGUUGUAGCCUGCAGGCUGUGUUCAAUGUAGGGGCUGUACACUUGGGACUGACCUAUUAAAUCUCUUACUCAUGGGUGAGUAAAAAAUGCUAAUCUCCACGUUAACAGAUAUCCAAAAUACUCCUAAGGGGUCCUGGGACUUGGAGAAACUAGUGUGAACCUGGAUUCAAAGCCAGAUUUCUUACUGCAAAGAAUUUUUUUCUCUACUGAGCAGCCUCAUGUCAGACCACUGCAGACGGCAGCUGAGUUCUCAGGAGGCAUGAAAGCAGUGUGCAAGUGGAGGCUAAUGCUGAUGGGGCACAGAGAAUACAAAGGCUGGCCUGUCUUCCCCAGGAGACAAAGCAGCCACGGAGGCUUAUACCUUUGCAUGCCUCAAGAUCAGAGUCCAGAGACAAUGGAAACACUUGGACCCUGGCCUUGUCUUGGGCUGGACAAGCUUAAGCAACUCUUUUUGGGCCUGUGGCCCUGCUCCCCCAAAACUAAUAUUUUGUACCUUGUUGCAGAAUAUUCCAACCCGGGACCGGCUAGAGGGCAUGGCAGCCUUCAGGGAGAAGCGGACUCCCAAAUUUGUUGGCAAAUGACCCCCAUUUUAACCUUCAGCAUGGGAGAUGCAUGCCCUGAAGAGCAGGAUCCAGAAGGAAGAUUUGUGGCCAGAUUGCCUUCAUCAUUUCACCUCUCCAGACUUCCAUUUCUUCACAAGGAUGAUGAUGGAAAUAAAAUGACUGGCGUGAUGCCUGGAACCAAGGUGCUGAUCCUACCACCUACUGCUACCUUCCUUAGCUUCACCCUGGCUAGAAAUAAUCACGAGGGUUGGGUUUGCUUUGGAAAAUGCCUGUCUCUCUACUUGAAUGAUAAAGAAUUAAAUUAGAUCUCUCU